rnacentral:rRNA from 1 species
AUUCCGUCCAAGGCUAAAUAUUGGCGAGAGACCGAUAGCAAACAAGUACCGCGAGGGAAAGAUGAAAAGGACUUUGAGAAAAGAGUCAAAGAGUACUUGAAAUUGUCGGGAGGGAAGCGGAUGGGGGCCGGCGGUGCGUCUCGGUCGGAUGUGUAACGGCGCGUAGCCGGUCUGCCAAUCGACUCGGGGCGUGAACC